rnacentral:rRNA from 1 species
GAUUAAGUUAUUAAGGGCGCACGGUGGAUGCCUUGGCACUAGAAGCCGAUGAAGGACGUUACUAACGACGAUAUGCUUUGGGGAGCUGUAAGUAAGCUUUGAUCCAGAGAUUUCCGAAUGGGGAAACCCAGCAUGAGUUAUGUCAUGCUAUCGAUAUGUGAAUACAUAGCAUAUCAGAAGGCACACCCGGAGAACUGAAACAUCUUAGUACCCGGAGGAAGAGAAAGAAAAUUCGAUUCCCUUAGUAGCGGCGAGCGAAACGGGAAGAGCCCAAACCAACAAGCUUGCUUGUUGGGGUUGUAGGACACUCUAUACGGAGUUACAAAGGACGACAUUAGACGAAUCAUCUGGAAAGAUGAAUCAAAGAAGGUAAUAAUCCUGUAGUCGAAAAUGUUGUCUCUCUUGAGUGGAUCCUGAGUACGACGGAGCACGUGAAAUUCCGUCGGAAUCUGGGAGGACCAUCUCCUAAGGCUAAAUACUCUCUAGUGACCGAUAGUGAACCAGUACCGUGAGGGAAAGGUGAAAAGCACCCCGGAAGGGGAGUGAAAUAGAACCUGAAACCGUGUGCUUACAAGUAGUCAGAGCCCGUUAAUGGGUGAUGGCGUGCCUUUUGUAGAAUGAACCGGCGAGUUACGAUUUGAUGCAAGGUUAAGCAGUAAAUGUGGAGCCGUAGCGAAAGCGAGUCUGAAUAGGGCGUUUAGUAUUUGGUCGUAGACCCGAAACCAGGUGAUCUACCCUUGGUCAGGUUGAAGUUCAGGUAACACUGAAUGGAGGACCGAACCGACUUACGUUGAAAAGUGAGCGGAUGAACUGAGGGUAGCGGAGAAAUUCCAAUCGAACCUGGAGAUAGCUGGUUCUCUCCGAAAUAGCUUUAGGGCUAGCCUCAAGUGAUGAUUAUUGGAGGUAGAGCACUGUUUGGACGAGGGGCCCCUCUCGGGUUACCGAAUUCAGACAAACUCCGAAUGCCAAUUAAUUUAACUUGGGAGUCAGAACAUGGGUGAUAAGGUCCGUGUUCGAAAGGGAAACAGCCCAGACCACCAGCUAAGGUCCCAAAAUAUAUGUUAAGUGGAAAAGGAUGUGGCGUUGCCCAGACAACUAGGAUGUUGGCUUAGAAGCAGCCAUCAUUUAAAGAGUGCGUAAUAGCUCACUAGUCGAGUGACACUGCGCCGAAAAUGUACCGGGGCUAAACAUAUUACCGAAGCUGUGGAUUGUCCUUUGGACAAUGGUAGGAGAGCGUUCUAAGGGCGUUGAAGCAUGAUCGUAAGGACAUGUGGAGCGCUUAGAAGUGAGAAUGCCGGUGUGAGUAGCGAAAGACGGGUGAGAAUCCCGUCCACCGAUUGACUAAGGUUUCCAGAGGAAGGCUCGUCCGCUCUGGGUUAGUCGGGUCCUAAGCUGAGGCCGACAGGCGUAGGCGAUGGAUAACAGGUUGAUAUUCCUGUACCACCUAUAAUCGUUUUAAUCGAUGGGGGGACGCAGUAGGAUAGGCGAAGCGUGCGAUUGGAUUGCACGUCUAAGCAGUAAGGCUGAGUAUUAGGCAAAUCCGGUACUCGUUAAGGCUGAGCUGUGAUGGGGAGAAGACAUUGUGUCUUCGAGUCGUUGAUUUCACACUGCCGAGAAAAGCCUCUAGAUAGAAAAUAGGUGCCCGUACCGCAAACCGACACAGGUAGUCAAGAUGAGAAUUCUAAGGUGAGCGAGCGAACUCUCGUUAAGGAACUCGGCAAAAUGACCCCGUAACUUCGGGAGAAGGGGUGCUCUUUAGGGUUAACGCCCAGAAGAGCCGCAGUGAAUAGGCCCAAGCGACUGUUUAUCAAAAACACAGGUCUCUGCUAAACCGUAAGGUGAUGUAUAGGGGCUGACGCCUGCCCGGUGCUGGAAGGUUAAGAGGAGUGGUUAGCUUCUGCGAAGCUACGAAUCGAAGCCCCAGUAAACGGCGGCCGUAACUAUAACGGUCCUAAGGUAGCGAAAUUCCUUGUCGGGUAAGUUCCGACCCGCACGAAAGGCGUAACGAUUUGGGCACUGUCUCAACGAGAGACUCGGUGAAAUCAUAGUACCUGUGAAGAUGCAGGUUACCCGCGACAGGACGGAAAGACCCCGUGGAGCUUUACUGUAGCCUGAUAUUGAAAUUCGGCACAGCUUGUACAGGAUAGGUAGGAGCCUUUGAAACGUGAGCGCUAGCUUACGUGGAGGCGCUGGUGGGAUACUACCCUAGCUGUGUUGGCUUUCUAACCCGCACCACUUAUCGUGGUGGGAGACAGUGUCAGGCGGGCAGUUUGACUGGGGCGGUCGCCUCCUAAAAGGUAACGGAGGCGCUCAAAGGUUCCCUCAGAAUGGUUGGAAAUCAUUCAUAGAGUGUAAAGGCAUAAGGGAGCUUGACUGCGAGACCUACAAGUCGAGCAGGGUCGAAAGACGGACUUAGUGAUCCGGUGGUUCCGCAUGGAAGGGCCAUCGCUCAACGGAUAAAAGCUACCCCGGGGAUAACAGGCUUAUCUCCCCCAAGAGUUCACAUCGACGGGGAGGUUUGGCACCUCGAUGUCGGCUCAUCGCAUCCUGGGGCUGUAGUCGGUCCCAAGGGUUGGGCUGUUCGCCCAUUAAAGCGGUACGCGAGCUGGGUUCAGAACGUCGUGAGACAGUUCGGUCCCUAUCCGUCGUGGGCGUAGGAAAUUUGAGAGGAGCUGUCCUUAGUACGAGAGGACCGGGAUGGACAUACCUCUGGUGUACCAGUUGUCGUGCCAACGGCAUAGCUGGGUAGCUAUGUGUGGACGGGAUAAGUGCUGAAAGCAUCUAAGCAUGAAGCCCCCCUCAAGAUGAGAUUUCCCAACUUCGGUUAUAAGAUCCCUCAAAGAUUAUGAGGUUAAUAGGUUCGAGGUGGAAGCAUGGUGACAUGUGGAGCUGACGAAUACUAAUCGAUCGAAGACUUAAUCAA